rnacentral:lncRNA from 1 species
UUGAUGCAACCUGCAAGGUGCUGGCUUCCUUUCAUUUCCCAAGGGCCAUCGCGUGGCCUCUGAUCCUUCUGUGCAGCCCAGUGCUUUCCUGUGGUCUUCCACAUCCUCUGCUGACUCUCGCUGCUCUCAAGAGUUGGCCCGGAGGAAUCUUCCAGAACUCCUAUUCAUUCGUCAAGACCUACGCCAAAAGUCCAUUUCCUGACCUAAUUCUGAAGAAGCAGCCACGCCCUCCUCUGCGUCCCCACCGCUGCCCUCCCUAUGCCUUGGUAGGGUUCUCACUGCACUGAGACACCAUCAUUGUGCCACUGCCCUUCUCCCGUGUUGUGCCACCUGUUAGUAAGCUCUCCUUACCAGGCUAGCUUUGUCAUCUCCUCCUCCAGGUAGUUCAGCCCAUCCCCUUUAGAACUCUGUAGGUCUUUGAGAACUAAUGUUUUAAGGACAUCUUUUUGGCUCUUCAAGGUCCAAAUUUUAUGAGAACUCUGGAAUGUAGCAAAACAGGUUGACUUUUAUUGUC